AGACACCGGGUAAAUGCUGCUGGAGAGAUGGAAUCAGACCUGGGGCCCGGAACAGAGACCGUGAGCCAGAGACUCACAUCAGAGCCCUGUCACAGAGGACGCAAAGGCAGAGAGAGACCGAGGGACAGCGGCUGACCAAAAAUAAGGGGAGCCAAAGAUUGGCCGCUAGAGACAAAGAGACGUAGAAACGGAUAAGAGAUAAAGUCAUUGACGCAGAGUCCGAGGAGCAGUAAGCGGCUGGGAGCCUGGAGAGUAACAGGCCCAGAAGCAGAGGAACAAAAGACGAUAGUGAGCGAAACAGGCAGAGACAAAGAGAAAGACACACAAAGAGGCGGCCAGAAAGACUCCGGACAGAGAUGGUAGAGGGGCACGUCCCUCUGUUGCCCAGGUUGGUCUGGAACUCCUUGGCUCAAGCUGUCCUCCCUCCUCUGCCUCCCAAAGUGCUGAGAUUACAGGCGAGAGCCACCUUGCCCGUCCUGGGAACUGUUUUCUAAUCAGCUCAUCAAAACCUUCAUCUCCCCUGCUAACAAAGGGAGCCACUUCCUUC
rnacentral:sRNA from 1 species